CACGUAGGGGGCAAGCGUUGUCCGGAUUUAUUGGGCGUAAAGAGCUCGUAGGUGGUUCGGUAAGUCAGGUGUGAAACCUCCAGGCUCAACCUGGAGACGCCACUUGAUACUGCUGUGACUGGAGUCCGGUAGGGGAGCGUGGAAUUCCUGGUGUAGCGGUGAAAUGCGCAGAUAUUAGGAGGAACACCGGUGGCGAAGGCGCCGCUCUGGGCCGAAACUGACGCUGAGGAGCGAAAGCAUGGGUAGCAAACAGG
rnacentral:rRNA from 1 species